UAGGGAAUCUUCCGCAAUGGACGCAAGUCUGACGGAGCAACGCCGCGUGAGUGAAGAAGGAUUUCGGUUCGUAAAACUCUGUUGUUAGAGAAGAACAGCGCAUAGAGUAACUGUUAUGCGUGUGACGGUAUCUAACCAGAAAGCCACGGCUAACUACGUGCCAGCAGCCGCGGUAAUACGUAGGUGGCAAGCGUUGUCCGGAUUUAUUGGGCGUAAAGCGAGCGCAGGCGGUCAAUUAAGUCUGAUGUGAAAGCCCCCGGCUCAACCGGGGAGGGUCAUUGGAAACUGGUUGACUUGAGUGCAGAAGAGGAGAGUGGAAUUCCUAGUGUAGUGGUGAAAUACGUAGAUAUUAGGAGGAAUACCAGUAGCGAAGGCGACUUUCUGGACACAAACUGACGCUGAGGUACGAAAGCGUGGGGAGCAAACAGG
rnacentral:rRNA from 1 species